rnacentral:lncRNA from 1 species
CACACACUUCUAUAGUGUUGUUUAGGAAAAAGAAAAGAGCAAUUAGAGGCAUACUCUCCGAUCAAAAAUCAAAAGAAAUUGCAAUUCCUCCCUCUCCAAAAGCUGUUAAAGUUUAGGGGCCAGUCCAGAAGGUGGACAUAUACACGGAACUUGGCGCCAAAGAGAAGAUGGAUCUGCGACAGGCCAAGAAUUCCAAGCCAGACGUACCAGAUUACCCCAGGCCUCUCUUCCCC